rnacentral:rRNA from 1 species
AGAGUUUGAUCCUGGCUCAGAUUGAACGCUGGCGGCAUGCCUUACACAUGCAAGUCGAACGGCAGCACGGGAGCAAUCCUGGUGGCGAGUGGCGAACGGGUGAGUAAUAUAUCGGAACGUGCCCAGUCGUGGGGGAUAACGCAGCGAAAGCUGUGCUAAUACCGCAUACGAUCUCUGGAUGAAAGCGGGGGACUCGUAAGAGCCUCGCGCGAUUGGAGCGGCCGAUAUCAGAUUAGCUAGUUGGUGGGGUAAAGGCCCACCAAGGCGACGAUCUGUAGCUGGUCUGAGAGGACGACCAGCCACACUGGAACUGAGACACGGUCCAGACCCCUACGGGAGGCAGCAGUGGGGAAUUUUGGACAAUGGGCGCAAGCCUGAUCCAGCAAUGCCGCGUGCAGGAUGAAGGCCUUCGGGUUGUAAACUGCUUUUGUACGGAACGAAAAGGUUUGCCUUAAUACGGUGGGCCCAUGACGGUACCGUAAGAAUAAGCACCGGCUAACUACGUGCCAGCAGCCGCGGUAAUACGUAGGGUGCGAGCGUUAAUCGGAAUUACUGGGCGUAAAGCGUGCGCAGGCGGUUAUAUAAGACAGAUGUGAAAUCCCCGGGCUCAACCUGGGACCUGCAUUUGUGACUGUAUAGCUAGAGUACG